rnacentral:rRNA from 1 species
CCUACGGGUGGCAGCAGUCGAGAAUCAUUCACAAUGGGGGAAACCCUGAUGGUGCGACGCCGCGUGGGGGAAUGAAGGUCUUCGGAUUGUAAACCCCUGUCAUGUGGGAGCAAAUUAAAAAGAUAGUACCACAAGAGGAAGAGACGGCUAACUCUGUGCCAGCAGCCGCGGUAAUACAGAGGUCUCAAGCGUUGUUCGGAAGCACUGGGCGUAAGGCGUGCGUAGGCUGUGUCGUAAGUCGUGUGUGAAAGGCGCGGGCUCAACCCGCGGACGGCACAUGAUACUGCGAGACUAGAGUAAUGGAGGGGGAACCGGAAUUCUCGGUGUAGCAGUGAAAUGCGUAGAUAUCGAGAGGAACACUCGUGGCGAAGGCGGGUUCCUGGACAUUAACUGACGCUGAGGCACGAAGGCCAGGGGAGCGAAAGGGAUUAGAUACCCUAGUAGUC